rnacentral:lncRNA from 1 species
GAGCUACACUACCAUCCAGCCUUUUAGAACCCGGGAAAGUUGCUUCUCUAUCUCCGAAUCUCAACCCUCCCAUAAGUACAGCCUGGAAAGGGCCUCUGAUGGCCUACAGUUUCUCAGGAGAUGUCUGUUCUAGUACCCCCUCCUCGACCCUUUAUUUUUACCAGGCUGGUAUGGGGCUGGGGGCCUUGGGUGUGGUCCUGAGGCAGUCUCAUUGCUGACAUGUUAACUAGCCAGGGAGCCCCAGGCAGCUGCUUGCCUCUGCUUCCUGUGCUGGUGCCUGGGGCCCAGACUCCUGCCCUGGUGUUUGUGCAGCAGAUACUACAAUGGGUCCAUCUCCCCACCUCACUUUCUGUCUCCUAUCCUUACAUGGACACCACACAGCUGUACCCCACUGGUCCCCCAACCUUUAGUUGUUGAUGAUCCUGUCUUUCUCCUUUCUGCCCUCCAGGCGAUGCGUCUGCAACUCUUGACUGCAAUUGGAGCAUUGGCAGGCACAGCCUGUGCCCUUCUCACUGAGGGAGGGGCAGUGGGCAGUGAGGUGGCUGGUGGUGCAGGUCCCGGCUGGGUUCUGCCAUUCACUGCAGGUGGAUUCAUCUAUGUGGCAACAGUGUCCGUGCUACCUGAGCUACUGAGAGAGGCAUCCCCGUUACAGUCUCUCUUGGAGGUGCUGGGGCUGCUGGGGGGCGUUGCCAUGAUGGUACUGAUUGCCCAUCUUGAGUGAGGGGUGGGUGACCUGUCCUACCCCUAACUCCAAAAUAAAGGCAGUUGGGACCCUGGCCAGUGCAUUGUCAGGAGGCUCAGCCUGGAGAAUGGCAUCUUUGGUAUUUGAGGCCUUAGAGGUAUGAGAGUCACACAGAGCAUGAGAGGCCAGAGGGACCAUGCUGUGGGAGACAGCCCAGCAGUGUUGUUGGUUUUGGAGAAAUAAAUGGGACCAUGAAGAAGGCUGGGAGACAGUAGCCUACCUGGUGGUCCCUAGUCUACGUUUUCCCAGCACCAGCAUGCCACACAAGGGUCCUCCAAGGUCCAUCUCCCUCUGAACUGGUUAGUGAUGGCUUCAGGGAAGGCCUGGCAGAAGGACUGGGGUAGACAUCAAUCGUGUGUCCUGAUUUGAGGGGGUGGGUGGUGUUCCUUGGAAAAAUGUCAUGGCCUGAUUUUUGUUUCUACUCAUUUUAUACCACUGUUUGAAUGGGUGGGGAGGAACGACUACCAGAAAUAAAAGUACUUGGAUCUUCUGCCCUACAUGCAGCCUUUGUCUUUUGAGGGGGAAGGGGCCCCUUGUUUCCUGGACUCGAUAGGUCCCCAAGUGGUAGUGGGUGGUCACGCCCCUGUGGUGGGAGGUUGCGCUGGUGGUUGCCAAAGGCCUACGGCUAGUGGGGUUUCCAUUGGACCCUGACCGGUCCUAGCCACACCCCCGGCGUGCUCGGAUUGGCCUGGGCGCAGGGCACGCCCACCCGCAGCCGCCAUGGCGUCUCAGCUCCGGCUCCGUUCCGCGCUGGCCCUGGUCACAGGUUCAGGGGUUCCCUCAGGGUGGGUUAGGGUGCCCGGCCCAUGUCAGGGAGAGCCACCCCUGGAGUCCCUGGCCCUGUUGUCUGAGUUUCAGUAACUUUGCGCCCCAUGACCUCUGACCUCGGCCCGUUUCCCCCUACCGCGGACUCUCCCAUCUCAGGUGCGGGUAGCGGCAUCGGUCGUGCGAUCAGCGUGCGCCUAGCGGCAGAGGGCGCCGCAGUGGCCGCCUGCGACCUGGACGGGGCAGCGGCACAGGACACGGUGCGGCUGCUGGGAAACCCAGGGAGCGAGGACAGGGAGCCGCGCGGGAAGCACGCUGCCUUCCAGGCGGACGUGUCCGAGGGCCCCGCAGCCAAACGCCUGCUGGAGCAAGUGCAGGUGAACCGGGCUCCGCGCCGCACACCCCCUCAGCUCGGCCCUUUGUGGUCUUUGGCGUUAGCCUCCUCCUCCCUCCCAUAGGCCUGCUUUUUUCGCCCGCCAUCUGUCGUUGUGUCCUGUGCGGGCAUCACACGCGAUGAGUUUCUGCUCCACAUGUCAGAAGAAGACUGGGACAGAGUCAUAGCUGUGAACCUCAAGGGCACCUUCCUAGUCACUCAGGCUGCCGCCCAGGCAUUGGUGUCCAGUGGCGGUCGUG